GCUUGUGCGUGUACGCGCGAGUGUUCUUCGAAGUUCUCGUGGGAAAGACUACGCUUUUUUUUACGUUCCGUUGAGUUCUUUGCGAAUCCUGUGGUACGUGCCUUUCUGUUUCCACGGUGUAUUCCUGCUUGUCGGCGUAGAGACCGCGGUGACGUCGUUCAGCACUCGGCGAGUCAGCAGUUACAUGGACGCGCAGACAGCCAUGUCCAGUGCGCAAGCAGUAGAAGGAUCCCUUGGACAAUACCGAGCUCGAGCUACUUCAGUCCAGGAACGAAAGGCACCGAUGAACCAUUCCGACGCAGACGUCGGCUAAAGUGGCUGGGGGCAAGGAUGAAAUUGGGUGCUCCACUAGUCACUUUGUUACAUCACCCCAUAUGACGACAGGACAAGGACAUGCGUGAUGCCACAAUACAUCCUGUGUAAGGAAUGUGACGUCAUAGACAGGACACUCUGAUACAUCUGAUGGGGACGCCAACUGCGUUUUUGGACUACCUAUAGUGAGACAAUUGAAGCUGCUUUUGCUCCGGAACGCGGUUUUCAAAAAGUAUGUAUACUACGGAAAGAGACAAGGCCACAUCCAAUAAAG